rnacentral:rRNA from 1 species
UGGGGAAUAUUGGACAAUGGGCGGAAGCCUGAUCCAGCAACGCCGCGUGAGGGAUGACUGCCUUCGGGUUGUAAACCUCUUUCAUCAUUGACGAAGCUCAGCGUUUAGUUGGGUGACGGUAGGUGGAGAAGAAGCACCGGCCAACUACGUGCCAGCAGCCGCGGUAAUACGUAGGGUGCGAGCGUUGUCCGGAAUUAUUGGGCGUAAAGGGCUCGUAGGCGGUUUGUCGCGUCGGGAGUGAAAACACUGGGCUUAACCGAGUGCUUGCUUUCGAUACGGGCAGACUAGAGGUAUGCAGGGGAGAACGGAAUUCCUGGUGUAGCGGUGAAAUGCGCAGAUAUCAGGAGGAACACCGGUGGCGAAGGCGGUUCUCUGGGCAUUACCUGACGCUGAGGAGCGAAAGUGUGGGGAGCGAACAGGAUUAGAUACCCUGGUAGUCCACACCGUAAACGUUGGGCGCUAGGUGUGGGGUCUAUUCCAUGGACUCCGUGCCGCAGCUAACGCAUUAAGCGCCCCGCCUGGGGAGUACGGCCGCAAGGCUAAAACUCAAAGGAAUUGACGGGGGCCCGCACAAGCGGCGGAGCAUGCGGAUUAAUUCGAUGCAACGCGAAGAACCUUACCUGGGUUUGACAUAUACCGGAA